AACGCGAAGAACCUUACCUACCCUUGACAUCCAGAGAAUCCUACAGAGAUGUGGGAGUGCCGAAAGGAACUCUGAGACAGGUGCUGCAUGGCUGUCGUCAGCUCGUGUUGUGAGAUGUUGGGUUAAGUCCCGUAACGAGCGCAACCCUUAUCCUUAGUUGCCAUCAUUUAGUUGGGGACUCUAAGGAGACUGCCGGUGAUGAACCGGAGGAAGGCGGGGACGACGUCAAGUCAUCAUGGCCUUUAUGGGUAGGGCUACACACGUGCUACAAUGGUCGGUACAGAGGGCAGCCAACUCGCGAGAGGGAGCCAAUCCCAGAAAGCCGAUCGUAGUCCGGAUCGGAGUCUGCAACUCGACUCCGUGAAGUCGGAAUCGCUAGUAAUCGCGAAUCAGAAUGUCGCGGUGAAUACGUUCCCGGGCCUUGUACACACCGACUGUAC
rnacentral:rRNA from 1 species